rnacentral:lncRNA from 1 species
UUGUGAAAAUCUUAACUUAAUACAGCUUCACAGUAAAUCUUAAUCUGUUUUUGCAAUCCUCUCCCAGGGCCCCAAGUGGGUCAGCAGGGAAGGUGGGUGAUGCUACUUCUCUGCCCUCCCAGUGCCAUGGGAUAGAAGAGCUAAUGAAGAGGGAGCAAAAAGUGGGUGAUGAUACUUCUCUGCCCUCCCAGUGCCAGGGGAUAGAAGAGCUAAUGAAGAGGGAGCAAAAGAGAAGUGGAGGACUUCUUCCCCUCGGGACACUGAAACCUUCCACCUCAGCCUUUCUCCCACGGCCAUGAUGAUCCCAACUUGGAGCCAGGAACAUUCCUCUUUCCAACUCUGUGCUACAACGAUGUUCUGAUGCAGUUAAUGUUCAAACACAUUGGCUUGGAAUACCCUCACGAAAGCAAGAACCCAUGUGAGCAAAGGGGAGGACACUUCUACAGGACCACAAACAAGUAAGAGAAAUUAGCAGUGGGAGAGUAUUUUCAGGGGGCAAGGAUAAGACAAUGAUGAGACAAGCUUUCCCAGAUUGAUUCAAUUUAUAUCUUUGGAAAGUACACA